CAAAUUGAAGAGUUUGAUCCUGGCUCAGAACGAACGCUGGCGGCGUGGCUAAGACAUGCAAGUCGAACGGACGAUUGAAUUGGGUAACCGAGACAAUCGUUAGUGGCGAAAGGGUGAGGAAUGGAUAGGUAACGUACCUUUGGCUUCGGAAUAGCGUCCCGAAAGGGGCGGUAAUACCGGAUGAUAUCACAGAGUGCAGGCUUUGUGAUCAAAGAUUUAUCGGCCAAAGAGCGGCCUAUUGCCUAUCAGCUUGUUGGUGAGGUAAUGGCUCACCAAGG
rnacentral:rRNA from 1 species